GCUCCUGUUAGUCUCUCUGGAUAAGAGCGUCUGCUAAAUUACUAAAAUGUAAAUGUUAAGGGGCCAAUAGAAUGGUCCCAAAACUGCAAACCCCGCCCAUCUGACACUCCAGGCAGACUAGCGCAAACGCUCAGAGUAUUUGAAGGAUUUCAAAUAAUACUUGAACCCAGGUCUGGUGUGAUCAACACUAACAACACUCAACUACCCAGGUCUGGUGUGAUCUACACUGUCUAACAACACUCAACUACCCAGGUCUGGUGUGAUCUACACUGUCUAACAACACUCAACUACCCAGGUCUGGUGUGAUCUACACUGUCUAACAACACUCAACUACCCAGGUCUGGUGUGAUCUACACUAACAACACUCAACUACCCAGGUCUGGUGUGAUCUACACUGUCUAACAACACUCAACUACCCAGGUCUGGUGUGAUCUACACUGUCUAACAACACUCAACUACCCAGGUCUGGUGUGAUCUACACUGUCUAACAACACUCAACUACCCAGGUCUGGUGUGAUCUACACUGUCUAACAACACUCAACUACCCAGGUCUGGUGUGAUCUACACUGUCUAACAACACUCAACUACCCAGGUCUGGUGUGAUCUACACUGUCUAACAACACUCAACUACCCAGGUCUGGUGUGAUCUACACUGUCUAACAACACUCAACUACCCAGGUCUGGUGUGAUCUACACUAACAACACUCAACUACCCAGGUCUGGUGUGAUCUACACUAACAACACUCAACUACCCAGGUCUGGUGUGAUCUACACUAACAACACUCAACUACCCAGGUCUGGUGUGAUCUACACUGUCUAACAACACUCAACUACCCAGGUCUGGUGUGAUCUACACUGUCUAACAACACUCAACUACCCAGGUCUGGUGUGAUCUACACUGUCUAACAACACUCAACUACCCAGGUCUGGUGUGAUCUACACUAACAACACUCAACUACCCAGGUCUGGUGUGAUCUACACUGUCUAACAACACUCAACUACUUUAUGAACCAUUUUCUAAUAAUUGCGCCAACAGUUGUUGCCUUCUCACCAAGCUGCUUGCCUAUUGUCCUG